UUACUGGAGGUGAAGUGGUUGUCCUCAUCGGAUUCCGAUAUAUCAUAGUUGUUCCUGUAAUCGUAGCAUUAGUCGUCGAAUUAUUCAUUGUUGUUGUAUCUAGUUCAUUCAUGUUUUGGUCCCACGAUUAAGCUGGAGCCGGUAUGCGUAGAAAAGGAGUUUUAAUACCUCAGACCUCGCCCGGGCAUCGGAGGGGGCCGUUUGCGAUUAUUGAGCCAUAAGCACGGGAUCUCAACACCUUGGUGUUGGUGCGGGUGUCCUCACACUUCCACUAUAGGAGAUGGGCGUAAAACCAAGGGUCAUACCAUUACUAUAUUACCAUUGAGGGAAUAAUGAGUUGUGCCUCUUGCUACUUAAGAGAAGUGUAUGUUCUCAUUUGGGAUGCGCUCAUUACUAUUACUUAAAUCCCUUCGCGCGUUAAAGCGACCAACGUUGAAUAAUUCUAUGGAACUUAUAUUGAUAUUUGAAGAUAUGAGCUGGCUUGAUUAUUUCAAAGUGUAAUUCACGAAUCUUGGAAAAAAUAUAUCUAUUCUGAUUAUUUAUUGUAUAGCGAGAAUAAUUUCCUGAACAAAGUGAUUGUCAUAAGACCAUAUAUCAUUUUUUGAAUAUUUUAAUGUCAAUACUGUCAAUCUCAUUUCAUUUCCAUUUAACUUUUAAUCAUAAACCCUGCUGAAUUGCAUUUAGUAGGAAAAUACUAUAAAAAAUCAAAAUAUCUGUCAAAAUGACUGACUGAAGUGGGAGGUCUACCUGACAACCACAAGUGCCACAGGCGACAUAAACUAUUCAUGUUAUUGCGGAAGUUUUACGAUUUUCCAACGAAAAUCACACACGAAACGACAUCGUAAAAAGAGAAAAUAAAAAUUCGAAAGACAAUAUCAAAUACUCAUCAGCAUUUCAGUAUUCAGAGAUUCAAUUAUGAAUAUUUAAUUUCAUAAUCUAAUUAACAUAAGCGCGUAAACACCUGUAUAACUAUAAGGCAAUAAAAAUAUUCUUCACUUUCCUUGAGUUGCUUUUGGCCAACACAACGCAUACUUCCAGGCGUCUCAGGGGCGAAAACAUCAGCGCAUUAAUAUGGAACUCUGUGGCAUUUAGGUGUGCUGCUGAAGGGUUAUCGCUACAGCCAAAGUCAGCUAAUAUUUUCAUAUUUUCCAUACAAGUUUUAUUUUUAUUUUAUAUGUGGGUUUUUAUUAGGCUCCCCUAUCCACUACUUUUCUUCAUUUCCACACUCGAUUUCAAUGAGUUUGAGUAAAUAAAUAGUUGAAGAGAUCACUCAUCCAUUUUAAUGCCACAAGCACUUAUACAUUUAUUUAGAGAAGUCUAUAUGUAUGUGCUUAUAUAUGUAUACAGUGAAACUUCGAUAAGUCGUAACCUCGAUAAGCGAAAAACCUUGAUAUAUCAUAGUAUUUCUUCGGUCCCUAGAAAAAUUCGCGAAAAAUGCAUGUAUUUUGGUCCCUUUGAUAACUCGUAUUUUUAUUGAGACAAAAAUUGAAAAAUGUGUAUCAAAAGCCUCUACAAAUCGUAUUUUUUUCACAAAAAACCGUACGUGACGAAAACAUAGUACGUUUUUUAACCGUUAUUAUUUUACAGUUACGCUUAUUCAUAAGUUUUGCUUUGUUUUCUACAACUAGCGUAGAUUACUAUCAAUUAGGACUCGUAAGUGCAAAAUAUUGCCAAUUAAAAAAAAAAGAAAUUAUUCUUGCCGUAAAAAAUGGUGAAAAACAAGUAGAAAUUGCGAAAAGGUUCGGUAUUGCGCCAUCUACUAUCACAUCAAUUUUGAAAAAAAGUGAUCUGUAUUUGGGUUUGCCCUCAAACACCAAACGUAAGCGCCAAAAAUUACCAGAAUACCCGGAAUUAGAAAAGAGAGUACUCACUUGGUUUUUGCAAUGCCAAGAAUCUAAUACUAUUCCAGUUGGAGGACAUUUACUAAAAGAAAAAGCAAAGGUGUAUGCCGCAAAAUUGGGCUUAACACAAUUCAACGCAAGUAAUGGCUGGUUGGACAAUUUCAAGAAGAGAAAUAAUGUAAGUUUCAAAAAAGUUUGCGGUGAAAACGCGGCCGUUGAUGAUGAAGUGUGCGUUCAAUGGAGAGAAAACAUUCAAAAGUUAAUAGAGAAUUAUGAGCCCAAGAAUAUUUUCAACGCGGAUGAAACGGGUCUUUUUUACAAGUGUCUUCCAGAUCGCACUUUGUCUUUAAAAGGCCAAAGUUGUCAUGGUGGCAAAUUGAGCAAGGAUCGUCUUACUCUGUUGCUUGCUGCAAAUAUGGAUGGGUCAGAAAAAUUUAAACCAUUAAUGAUUGGUAAAUCCAUGAAACCAAGAUGCUUUAAAAAUAUCAAAACGUUCCCUAUGCUUUAUCGUGCAAAUUCAAAGUCAUGGAUGACACGUAAUUUAUUUCUUGAAUGGCUACAAUUGGUGAACCUUUGAGCAAUGUGCAGACAGAAUUUCUCCCACCUAACACCACUUCAGUUUUGCAACCACUCGACAAAGGCAUAAUCAAAAGUUUCAAAACAUUGUACCGUAAAGAAGUUGUUGUUAAACUGCUUGAAAGCAUCGAGGAAAAAAAGGAUUAUUCCAUUUCAAUUUAUGAUGCAAUGAAUAUUACUCAUAAAGCCUGGACAAAUAUCAGUAAAUCGACUAUUAAAAACUGUUUUCGAGCUUGCGGUUUUGUUAAGGAUCAAAAUGUAGUCGUAUUCAGGGAAGAUGUACUUCACAUAGCAGAGUGGGCUCGUGUUCCACAAAAUGCAGAAACACGUGUAAACUUUGAUGACUACAUUCAUUCAUUCACCAACUCAUCAGGUGAUUACUGGAAGCCUUAAUGAUGAUGAAAUUCUGGGUUUCGAAAACAUCGACGAUAAAAACGAUGAAACAUUUGAAAUUCCCUCACUUUCCACAAAGGUUGCGAAAGCUUCAAUUGAAAAUUUGUGUCUUUUUUCAUGGCAUCAAAUAUUGAAGACAGUAUUUUUAAUGAUAUUGUAAACAUUGAUAAUGCCAUAGAUAAAAUACGCCAAAAUAAUGUCCGUCAAAAACAUAUCACGGAUUUCUUUUAAAAUGAACACUUUUCUUAAUUUUUUUGCACAAUUUUUCAAAAUACAUACAUACAUAUAUUGAUUGAAUAACAUUUGCACUUUAUAUUUUAAAAUUUAAAUAUGUACAAUCAUUUCUUGUUUUUUAUGUAAAAUUGAAAAAAUAAAUAAAAAAAAACUCUAUAAUUCGUAUAUUCUGUAUGUUGCCUCUAUAAGUUGUAUAACUUGAUAACUUGAAAAACUCCAUAACUCGUAUUUAAAUUGUGGUCCCUUGCAAAUACGAGUUAUCGAAGUUUCACUGUAUAUAUCUGGUAGCACAGUAGCGCGCAUUCGCCGCUUAGUCCAGCUGUUCAAUGCAGAUCGAAAGCAAAUCAAAUCGAUUUCAAUCAAAUCAAAUUGAAGCUGAAUAGGCGAAUUAGUAAACAAUGCGUAUAUGAACUAUGCGAGUGCAAAUACAGCUAUUGGUCAGCAUAAUGCUUCGACUAUUAUAUGCUAUUAACACUAGCAGUCCCAGCGACUCAUCGCCGCAUGGAUCAUUCAUCGAUCGUUUGAUUGUCAGAACGGCGAAUUGUGCUUGUGCACAUACAUUAGUAUAUAUAUGUGUGAAUAUUAUAUAUUUGUAGUUGUUGUGGCUUAGCGGCCGUUAACUCAGCUAAGGGUCACAUGGAGUAGAAGUCAAAACAAUAAAGGGGCGCCAAGAAGGGACUCACUGUUGGGGCACGGUGACGUGAGGCAAAUACAUAAUGUACCAUAUUGUAUAAAAUAUUCAAAAUAAAUAAAAGAAAGUAUUAUAUAAAUAUAAGAAAAUCAAAUUGAAAAAUGUAUACAAUUCAUUUUAUGUAUAUCCUUUUCCAUUAUGUUCGCUUUUACUCGCAGUAUAUUGUUGCUUGCUGGAAAUUUUUACGGAACACCUUGGAACACUUUUGCACAUUUGGGAAGUUUAACUCCACUUAAAUGCAUUCUUAAAUAUCGAAAAGUUCUUACAGACCUUGAGUUGCCAUAAGCCAUAUGCUUUCUUCUCAUUGUUAUUCCUACCAUCUUGAACGGCGCUCAAGUUGUUUCGAAGUCCUUAUAAAUUCUAGAUCUGUAGGUUUUCAGAGCGAAUCUGCUUCCUAGUUAAAGCCUUAUUUAGAAUCAAGAUUAAUUAAAAGUAGCAUCAUGUACAUAGGUUCGAUGACACACACCCCUUUCGUAUUAACCUGUCAACAGUGCACGGAAGUACCACAACAAUAAACUGCAGCACUAGAACUCUCUUCAAAAUGUUAUUAACCAACCAUGUAGCGAGUAGCACUCAAAGGGUUGCCAAUAGCCACCCCCAAAGUGUGGCUGCGCUUCAAAAACAUGAGUGUUUACAGAUUUAUGACUUCAACUUCAUGUUACCAAAACGGAGUAAUAACAAUAAAGCCCGCGCCCAUGUGGUAUGCAACACUUGCAGCACCUAGUGCAGCCGAAGUGUAAAGAUAGCCAUAAUUGUGUUUUGCAUUCUGCGCUACAAAAAUAAUUUGAUAUAAAAAGUGCAGACGAGGUUACUCGGCACGUACCACUCAAAUGGAAAAUGCUCACUCUCUUUCCAUCGUUAGGCAUUCCAACACAUCACAAUAUCGCCGUCAAGAUCGCUUAAAGACACUGCAACUACAUUCGAAUACUGCACCGACGAGCAUUUAGCUUGUCCACUUGCAACAAAGUCACAACUUCUCUUCUUACCGCAGCCCACUGCAAGAACAUCCAACGAUCGUCCACACGGCCACAGAAUGUCGAGUGGCAGACAGUAGCGAGUGAAUAUGAUGUGAACACCCUCGACUCCUCGCAUAUUCUACUUAAGUGCAUAUGGAAGUGUAAGUAUCUGCUCUCACUCUUAAUGUACUCCCUCGCAGCCAAAUGUGCAAUUUCCCUGACUGUUUUUCCAAUUUUACGACGUAGCCUGGUCGCCAGCUACAUUUUCCUCCUUCACAGGCCGAUCGUCUCUGGUUCCCAACUGUCAUAGUCCAUGUGCUUGGCUGUCUUCAUUGCCACACGAUCAUGGCCAUGCGGUCCUAUGCACAGCAGUUGGCCACUUCACUUUGCGUUUUUUUAUUCUUUUUCUUUGAGUGUGUGCUCGUAUUGCCUUUGUUGUUGUCGUUCUUGAAACAAAAGCAAUUUCGUAUAUGCAUUCUUCUAGUUGUUGCGAAUUUGCGAUUCCCUGAAACACAUUAGCAGAGAGAUUCCUCAUGCCUCCGCACAUAUGGUAUGUUUGUGGUAUUAUUUUCUGCUCCUCCACAGUCAAUAACUGUGAACUGCCGUUUUGGCUAAUAAAGUUUAACAAGACUGGAAUGUAAACAAUGACUUUCUCCGUAAUACCUUAAGUCUUCUGAAGGAAAAUUAAAAUUAUUUGUAGUAUCUACUCGAUGUCAUAUCUUAAGCGAAUUUAGUUGAAUGCUGUGUUUUGAAGUAUUUGUGUGAGUGAAGUCACAUUUUCCGAAUGCUGUUAACAUCACCUCAAAGUCAUAUUUAUAAAUGCAGUAUUAGUCUCAGCUGCAAACAAACUUACAUACAAAUAUGAAGCCCCAUUAAAAAGUGGGUGCUUAGCAUAUUUUCUACUCCGAAAUACCUCCUCAAGUUCCAAAUUUUCAACUUUGUUGUAAUAACAUGAUUAAGGGAGACAUGAUUCAUUUUAGGAGCGCAUGCUAAAACUACCUUAUUGGAUCUAUAAAGUAACACUACUUAGGAAGGUAUAAAGGACCUCAGAAAUGCUUAAAAAACUAAAACUAAUAAAACAAGUAAGGAAGGGCUAAGUUCGGGUGUAACCGAACAUUUUAUACUCUCGCAAUUUAUUUAUUUAACUUUAUUUAUAUUAUAUAAUACACAAUUUGACCCACAUAUUCGUCAUAUAUAUUGUAUAAAGUCCAUUGAAAGUUGGAAACCAUAAUAUUAGAUUAGAAGCACCGAGGUCCUCGGGUUCGAUAUAUGGGGCCUUAAAAACCUAUGGUCCGAUUUCGGCGAUUUUUAGAAUG